UACGUAGGUGGCAAGCGUUAUCCGGAAUUAUUGGGCGUAAAGCGCGCGCAGGCGGUUUCUUAAGUCUGAUGUGAAAGCCCACGGCUCAACCGUGGAGGGUCAUUGGAAACUGGGGAACUUGAGUGCAGAAGAGAAAAGCGGAAUUCACGUGUAGCGGUGAAAUGCGUAGAGAUGUGGAGGAACACCAGUGGCGAAGGCGGCUUUUUGGUCUGUAACUGACGCUGAGGCGCGAAAGCGUGGGGAGCAAACAGG
rnacentral:rRNA from 1 species